rnacentral:rRNA from 1 species
AUUGAACGCUGGCGGCAUGCCUUACACAUGCAAGUCGAACGGUAACAGGUCUUCGGAUGCUGACGAGUGGCGAACGGGUGAGUAAUACAUCGGAACGUGCCCGAGAGUGGGGGAUAACGAGGCGAAAGCUUUGCUAAUACCGCAUACGAUCUCAGGAUGAAAGCAGGGGACCGCAAGGCCUUGCGCCCACGGAGCGGCCGAUGGCAGAUUAGGUAGUUGGUGGGAUAAAAGCUUACCAAGCCGACGAUCUGUAGCUGGUCUGAGAGGACGACCAGCCACACUGGGUCUGAGACACGGCCCAGACUCCUACGGGAGGCAGCAGUGGGGAAUUUUGGACAAUGGGCGCAAGCCUGAUCCAGCCAUGCCGCGUGCAGGAUGAAGGCCUCCGGGUUGUAAACUGCUUUUGUACGGAACGAAAAGACUCCUUCUAAUAAAGGGGGUCCAUGACGGUACCGUAAGAAUAAGCACCGGCUAACUACGUGCCAGCAGCCGCCGUAAGAC